AACGAACGCUGGCGGCAGGCCUAACACAUGCAAGUCGAGGGAGAAGCUAUCUUCGGAUAGUGGAGACCGGCAGACGGGUGAGUAACACGUGGGUACAUACCGAGUAGGUGGGGGAUAACAGUUGGAAACGACUGCUAAUACCGCAUAAUGUCUACGGACCAAAGGGGGCUUCGGCUCUCGCCUUUAGAUUGGCCCAAGUGGGAUUAGCUAGUUGGUGAGGUAAUGGCUCACCAAGGCAACGAUCCCUAGCUGGUUUGAGAGGAUGAUCAGCCACACUGGAACUGAGACACGGUCCAG
rnacentral:rRNA from 1 species